rnacentral:rRNA from 1 species
GUGGGGAAUAUUGGACAAUGGGCGCAAGCCUGAUCCAGCCAUGCCGCGUGAGUGAUGAAGGCCCUAGGGUUGUAAAGCUCUUUCACCGGAGAAGAUAAUGACGGUAUCCGGAGAAGAAGCCCCGGCUAACUUCGUGCCAGCAGCCGCGGUAAUACGAAGGGGGCUAGCGUUGUUCGGAAUUACUGGGCGUAAAGCGCACGUAGGCGGACAUUUAAGUCAGGGGUGAAAUCCCGGGGCUCAACCCCGGAACUGCCUUUGAUACUGGGUGUCUGGAGUAUGGAAGAGGUAAGUGGAAUUCCGAGUGUAGAGGUGAAAUUCGUAGAUAUUCGGAGGAACACCAGUGGCGAAGGCGGCUUACUGGUCCAUUACUGACGCUGAGGUGCGAAAGCGUGGGGAGCAAACAGGAUUAGAAACCCGGGUAGUCC